UGGGGAAUAUUGCGCAAUGGGGGAAACCCUGACGCAGCAACGCCGCGUGAAGGAUGAAGGUUUUCGGAUUGUAAACUUCUUUGAUUGGGGACGAAUAAUGACGGUACCCAAAAAACAAGCCACGGCUAACUACGUGCCAGCAGCCGCGGUAAUACGUAGGUGGCGAGCGUUGUCCGGAAUUACUGGGUGUAAAGGGCGUGUAGGCGGGGAAACAAGUCAGAUGUGAAAUUCCGGGGCUCAACCCCGGCACUGCAUCUGAAACUGUAUCUCUUGAGUGCUGGAGAGGAAAGCGGAAUUCCUAGUGUAGCGGUGAAAUGCGUAGAUAUUAGGAGGAACACCAGUGGCGAAGGCGGCUUUCUGGACAGUAACUGACGCUGAGGCGCGAAAGCGUGGGGAGCAAACAG
rnacentral:rRNA from 1 species